rnacentral:rRNA from 1 species
AGAGCGAACGCUGGCGGCAGGCCUAAUACAUGCAAGUCGAGCGGUCCCUUCGGGGGCAGCGGCGGACGGGUGAGUAACGCGUGGGAACGUGCCCUUUGGUACGGAACAACUGAGGGAAACUUCAGCUAAUACCGUAUGUGCCCUUCGGGGGAAAGAUUUAUCGCCAUUGGAGCGGCCCGCGUUGGAUUAGGUAGUUGGUGAGGUAAAGGCUCACCAAGCCUACGAUCCAUAGCUGGUCUGAGAGAAUGAUCAGCCACACUGGGACUGAGACACGGCCCAGACUCCUACGGGAGCAGCAGUAGGGAAUCUUGCGCAAUGGGCAAAGCCUGACGCAGCCAUGCCGCGUGAAUGAUGAAGGUCUUAGGAUUAGUAAAAUUCUUACGACCGGGACGAUAAUGACGGUACCCGGAGAAGACGCCCGACUAACUCGUGCCAGCAGCCGAC